rnacentral:rRNA from 2 species
AUCUUGGGAAAUUUCAUCGUGAUGGGGAUAGAUCAUUGCAAUUGUUGGUCUUCAACGAGGAAUGCCUAGUAAGCGCGAGUCAUCAGCUCGCGUUGACUACGUCCCUGCCCUUUGUACACACCGCCCGUCGCUCCUACCGAUUGAAUGGUCCGGUGAAGUGUUCGGAUCGUGGCGACGGGGGUGGUUCGCCGCCCCCGACGUCGCGAGAAGUCCAUUGAACCUUAUCAUUUAGAGGAAGGAGAAGUCGUAACAAGGUUUCCGUAGGUGAACCUGCGGAAGGAUCAUUG